AGGACGAACGCUGGCGGCGCGCUUAACACAUGCAAGUCGAGCGAGAACCUGGCCUUCGGGCCUGGGGAAAGCGGCGAACGGGUGAGUAACACGUGGGUAACCCACCCUUGGUACCGGGAUAGCCCGAGGAAACUCGGAUUAAUACCGGAUGGCCCAACAGCUCUUCGGGGCGGUUGGAAAAGGUAGCUUCGGCCUCCGACCAAGGACGGGCCCGCGGCGGAUUAGCUUGUUGGUGAGGUAACGGCUCACCAAGGCGACGAUCCGUAGCUGGUCUGAGAGGACGAUCAGCCACACUGGGACUGAGACACGGCCCAGACUCCUACGGGAGGCAGCAGUGGGGAAUCUUGCGCAAUGGGCGAAAGCCUGACGCAGCGACGCCGCGUGGGGGAAGAAGGCUUUCGGGGUUGUAAAACCCCUUUCAGGAAGGACGAAGCCAUCGGGUGAAUAGCCCAGAGGGUGACGGUACUUCCAGAAGAAGCCCCGGCUAACUACGCGCCAGCAGCCGC
rnacentral:rRNA from 1 species